UGGGGAAUUUUGGACAAUGGGCGAAAGCCUGAUCCAGCAAUGCCGCGUGUGUGAAGAAGGCCUUCGGGUUGUAAAGCACUUUUGUCCGGAAAGAAAUCCUUGGCUCUAAUACAGUCGGGGGAUGACGGUACCGGAAGAAUAAGCACCGGCUAACUACGUGCCAGCAGCCGCGGUAAUACGUAGGGUGCAAGCGUUAAUCGGAAUUACUGGGCGUAAAGCGUGCGCAGGCGGUUUGCUAAGACCGAUGUGAAAUCCCCGGGCUCAACCUGGGAACUGCAUUGGUGACUGGCAGGCUAGAGUAUGGCAGAGGGGGGUAGAAUUCCACGUGUAGCAGUGAAAUGCGUAGAGAUGUGGAGGAAUACCGAUGGCGGAGGCAGCCCCCUGGGCCAAUACUGACGCUCAUGCACGAAAGCGUGGGGGAGCAAAACAGGAUUAGAUACCCUGGUAGUCCACGCCCUAAACGAUGUCAACUAGUUGUUGGGGAUUCAUUUCCUUAGUAACGUAGCUAACGCGUGAAGUUGACCGCCUGGGGAGUACGGUCGCAAGAUUAAAACUUAAAUGAAUUGACGGGGUCAUAGCUGUUUCCU
rnacentral:rRNA from 1 species